AAUAAAGGAAAUGAAACUACGAAAACAAAAAUCUUCACACUUCAAAGUCUUCGCAUCAAUUUCUUCACGGACACAUCUCUUUCCUCACUUUCAAAGUUUUCGAGGAAAUACCAAAGUCUUCAGUCGAAGACAUACAUUUUUAGGGGUCGAUAUUCUUCGAAUAACUCAAACUCCUCAUCGAUUUAUAGAGCAUGUGUACACUCACAAACACAUUAGUCUCUUAACCUAUAAGUCUUCAAUACACUAAAAUCACUAAGGACACUAGAUGCACUUACAUGUUGUAAGUUGGGGGUUCAUUUCGUCCGGUUUCAAAGACGAGAGUUGUAAAUGGAACCGAGUGUUUAGCUGAGGUUUGAAAUAUAGACUUUUCUCUUUACAAAAUGAGAUUUACUGCUCUUAGUUUGCACGACUAUGCCUUGUCGGUCGACCCACGGGUAAAGGGGAGAAACAAGCAUGCUGGUCAAGUUUUUGGUGUGAGUCGUUUGCUUUCCAUCUCUUCCAUGGCUCUAAGGACAUGCACACCGCUCGAGUCUGGACCGAUGCCUCAUCCGCCACAUCGACAUGUUCGAUGCCACCUCCUUCAAAGCUAUCGCCUACAGAGCAAAACGGGCUCCUACAGAAGAGCUCGGCUCUUCCCCGAUAAAAGCACGAGGCGGUCGCUCGGGCGAUCCAGUGUGGGAUCCGGGCAUCCUCGGCACACACUAGUAGCUGAAAAAGAAAAAGUAAGAUGAUAAUAUCAAAGAAAGUAGCUUUUGUUGGCUGAUUGUGGCACAACCCUAAAACCGAUAUGUGAAUUGCUUGGUGUUGCCUCCGUUGUACAUACCCUAACACUUUGGUACAACGCUAAAACCGAUAUACUCUGCUGUUUAUUUCUUCUUUGCUUCGGCACCUUUAUCCCUUUUCUAGGCUCCGAGUUUCAGCAUCCCCAACGCUAAACAUAUACAUACAUACAUACAUAAUCAGGCCCUGCUUCUGAUCUCUUUUCGCGAGGAAUCACACUCCGCCUCACGACAGCAGCGCAGUGCAGGUGCGGCAGUGGCUUAAAACAAAAGCCGAGAUCAGAUGGGAAAGUUGUCGAUUCUGUUAUGCACAGCACAGGGGGGCGGUUAGGUAGGCGCUUUAUACCAAGCCUAAUCAAUUGCUUGCUAGAUCACCAGCCACUCGCCAACCGGGCAACCACCACCCCCAUCCACGAGCACGAGCAGGCGAGACGGACGGAUGGAUCCCCAUCCCCCGUCGGUCCGCCCGCCCGCGUCGGGAUAUAUUCGCACCGUCGUGGCCGCUCGUGGCACACCCAGCACCCCGCACCCCCGGCCCGGCAUCCAACGACGCAAGCAACCCCAACGCCCGCUACGCGCGCAGCGCAACCACCACCGCCUGCCACUGGCCACUGCCCCAGCUCCCAACGAUGAUAAUCAAUCCACCACGGCACGGCACGGCAGUGGUUCGGCCGGCCAGUGGCCACUCCCGAUCUCACUGGCCACCCAAUCACCAGUUAGAUUAGGCCGGCCUUUGCUGUGCCACUCCACCUGCGCUGCGUGCGUACUACGCGGGUAGCGGACCCGAUCGCGACGACACCACCGGCACCUCGCCUAUGGCCCGAGGAACACGUGGGGAAAAGGCAGGCGCACGCAACGCAUAUCCAACGGCGACGGAGACGUGCCGCUUGACGCCCUGGGAAAGACGCCGGCCGAGUCGCCCAACCCGAGCCGGCCGCGGUUGCGGAAAAAGUCAGGCGCGGACGGAACGGAACAGCUCCAUCGCCCCCGAUCGGGGUCAGGCAAGGCGAGAGAGAGGCUUCCUGCCUGCCGACCCCGUACGGCGCAAUCCUCAUGAAGUCAUCCCUUCAAAACAUGUGUCUGUUGACAAUAAAAAAAAAGAAGACACGAUUAUUUGAAAUUGGACAUUUCUUUUUGUUAAUAAACUAAUAUACUAAUUAGUUUCUAACAGUCGAGUUUCGGUGGGCAAGCGAGCGGCCGACGACGGGCCGUGCUGGGCGUGACGUGCCCGGUGACGGACGACGCGCGGGGGGAGGCGCCGAGGGUGUGAAUGUGUGAUACGAUGGAGGUUGUCAUGCUGAUACGUCAACGCUUAGGCGGUAUGCUUCUUUAUUAGCCAGACUAGAUAACCAUGCCUGCACGCUGGGUUAGUAGCAAGCCAAGUGGCAUGUGUGUGUGUUGGCAUGGCAUGGUCCUUUCGUGAGAAAAAGGGACACGAGGGAGCUGGUAGCACGGCAAGCUUUUUCCUCCCGUCGGUGCCUUGCGGCAAAAAUGAAGCAGAAAUUAAUAGAAACCCUCGUGUAAUAACUGUACUGUACUAUCGUGUACUGUGCUCCAAGACGACCAGUAGUAGGAGUAUAUGUUGAUUGUCAAACAGAGUACGUACCAGCAGGAGGAGGUAAAUAUGUAUACGAUCGACUAGCAAAAAAUGAUUCUGCUGCAGAAGAUCCACUUUUGCCGAGCCAACCUGAG
rnacentral:lncRNA from 1 species